rnacentral:rRNA from 1 species
GAUGAACGCUGGCGGCGUGCCUAAUACAUGCAAGUCGAGCGAACGGACGAGAAGCUUGCUUCUCUGAUGUUAGCGGCGGACGGGUGAGUAACACGUGGAUAACCUACCUAUAAGACUGGGAUAACUUCGGGAAACCGGAGCUAAUACCGGAUAAUAUUUUGAACCGCAUGGUUCAAAAGUGAAAGACGGUCUUGCUGUCACUUAUAGAUGGAUCCGCGCUGCAUUAGCUAGUUGGUAAGGUAACGGCUUACCAAGGCAACGAGGCGUAGCCGACCUGAGAGGGUGAUCGGCCACACGGGAACUGAGACACCGUCCAGACUCCUACGGGAGGCAGCAGUAGGGAAUCUUCCGCAAUGGGCGAAAGCCUGACGGAGCAACGCCGCGUGAGAUAUGAAGGCCUUCGGAUCGUAAAGCUCUGUUAUUAGGGAAGAACAUAUGUGUAAGUAACUGUGCACAUCUUGACGGUACCUAAUCAGAAAGCCACGGCUAACUACGUG